rnacentral:rRNA from 1 species
UACGGGGGGGGCAAGCGUUGUUCGGAAUUACUGGGCGUAAAGGGCUCGUAGGCGGCCAACUAAGUCAGACGUGAAAUCCCUCGGCUUAACCGGGGAACUGCGUCUGAUACUGGAUGGCUAGAGAUUGGGAGAGGGAUGCGGAAUUCCAGGUGUAGCGGUGAAAUGCGUAGAUAUCUGGAGGAACACCGGUGGCGAAGGCGGCAUCCUGGACCAACACUGACGCUGAGGAGCGAAAGCCAGGGGAGCAAACGGG